AGCUCCAAUAGCGUAUAUUAAAAUUGUUGCGGUUAAAAAGCUCGUAGUUGGAUCUCGGCCCCAUUUGCCUGUGUGAUUGGAAGAGGUUUCGGGGUGCCCUUUAUUGAGUGACCGGAGUGCUGCAAAGUUUACUUUGAAAAAAUUAGAGUGCUCAAAGCAGGCUUUUCACACUUGAAUAUUCAUGCAUGGAAUAAUAGAAUAGGAACUCGUUUCUAUUUUGUUGGUUUUCAGAUAUCGAGUUAAUGAUUAAUAGGGACAAUUGGGGGCAUUAGUAUUCAGACGACAGAGGUGAAAUUCUUGGACCGUCUGAACACUAACUACAGCGAAAGCAUUUGCCAAGAGUGUUUUCA
rnacentral:rRNA from 1 species